rnacentral:rRNA from 1 species
CCUACGGGAGGCAGCAGUAGGGAAUAUUGGGCAAUGGAGGCAACUCUGACCCAGCCAUGCCGCGUGCAGGAUGAAGGCGUUAUGCGUUGUAAACUGCUUUUAUAUAGGAAGAAAUAGACCUUGCGAGGUAAGUUGACGGUACUAUAUGAAUAAGCACCGGCUAACUCCGUGCCAGCAGCCGCGGUAAUACGGAGGGUGCAAGCGUUGUCCGGAUUUAUUGGGUUUAAAGGUGCGUAGGCGGUUUAUAAGUCAGUGGUGAAAGACGGUCGCUCAACGAUUGCAGUGCCAUUGAUACUGGUAGACUUGAGUGUGAUUGAGGUAGCUGGAAUGGAUAGUGUAGCGGUGAAAUGCAUAGAUAUUAUCCAGAACACCAAUUGCGUAGGCAAGUUACUAAGUCACAACUGACGCUGAGGCACGAAAGUGUGGGUAUCAAACAGGAUUAGAUACCCUGGUACGUCCACACUGUAAACCGAUAGAUAACUACUGUUGUCUUUGGUCUAGUGUACAGAGAAUUACGUUAAUUACUACCACGUGGUAGUACGCG